UAUUUUAUAAUUUACAAUUGUUAUUAAGUAACGUCCUUCCAAACCCGUUCCGCCAAACCCGUCAUGUAAAAUAAAACCGCGGUACCCCGCUAACUUAAAUUUAUAAUUAAAAUAAAUAUUUUACGGGAUUGCAAUUGUGUUUUAGUUUAUCAAACAAAAUUUUGUUUUAAAUAAUUGUCGAAAUCUAGUUCAAAUUUGGAGAAAUAAGAUUUAGUGAAUUGAUAAAAAAUGUAUUUAGUUGCGUGUUGCUCAUUUUAAGGGAUUGCAAUUGUCUUUUGGGUUGUCAAACAUUUUUUGUUUUAAAUAGUUGCCGAAAUCUAGUUCAAAGUUUGGAAAAAUCUGCGUGAUAUAUGGGAUUGGAAUAUAUUUGGAAUAUUUUUCGUUUGUUAAUAAAUUUAUUGCUGAAAAAGACCAAUAAUUAAAAGCCAGUGGCAGCCAUUGUAAAUAAGUUGCAACUCCAGGAUUUAUUUCACAAAAUGGCUGCAAAAAUGUAUAUAUAGAUAUAUAUAGAUGUUAAUGAUGGGUUAAAAUUCACUGGAUAUCCGAAACCCACCUAAACUUUUAAGCCCAUAGAUCUAUUUUUUGUAUCAGAAAAAUUACGGGCUCAAAACGAGCAGGUCUUAUUUACUUAAAGUCUUACACGGGUUUUACCCUAUCAGAUUAUGGGUACCCGUGGUUUUU
rnacentral:sRNA from 1 species